rnacentral:rRNA from 1 species
GAUGAACGCUGGCGGCGUGCCUAAUACAUGCCAGUCGAGCGAACAGACGAGGAGCUUGCUCCUCUGCCGUUAGCGGCGGACGGGUGAGUAACACGUGGAUAACCUACCUAUAAGACUGGGAUAACUUCGGGAAACCGGAGCUAAUACCGGAUAAUAUAUUGAACCGCAUGUUUCAAUAGUGAAAGACGGUUUUGCUGUCACUUAUAGAUGGAUCCGCGCCGCAUUAGCUAGUUGGUCAGGUAACGGCUUACCAAGGCAACGAUGCGUAGCCGACCUGAGAGGGUGAUCGGCCACACUGGAACUGAGACACGGUCCAGACUCCUACGGGAGGCAGCAGUAGGGAAUCUUCCGCAAUGGGCGAAAGCUUGACGGAGCAACGCCGCGUGAGUGAUGAAGGUCUUCGGAUCGUAAAACUCUGUUAUUAGGGAAGAACAAAUGUGUAAGUAACUAUGCACGUCUUGACGGUACCUAAUCAGAAAGCCACGGCUAACUACGUG